AUACGGAGGAUGCGAGCGUUAUCCGGAUUCAUUGGGUAUAAAGGGUGCGUAGGCGGCCCCCCAAGUCAGCGGUGAAAUGUCCGGGCCCAACCCGGAGGGCGCCGUUGAUACUGCGGGGCUGGAGUACGGACGCCGGCGGAGGAAUGAGUGGUGUAGCGGUGAAAUGCAUAGAUAUCACUCAGAACACCGAUUGCGAAGGCAUCUGACGAGUCCGGCACGUACGCGGAGGCACGAAAGCGUGGGGAUAGAACAGGAUUAGAUGCCCGGGUAUUCCACGCCGUAAACGAUGAUGACUAGCCGUCGGCGAUAGACAGCCGGUGGCCAAGCGAAAGCGAUAAGUCAUCCACCUGGGGAGUACGUCGGCAACGAUGGAACUCAAAUGAAUUGGCGGGG
rnacentral:rRNA from 1 species